GAUGAACGCUAGCGGCAGGCUUAAUACAUGCAAGUCGAGGGGCAGCAUGAUUGUAGCAAUACAAUUGAUGGCGACCGGCAAACGGGUGCGGAACACGUACACAACCUUCCAACAAGUGGGGGAUAGCCCAGAGAAAUUUGGAUUAAUACCCCGUAACAUAGCGAUGUGGCAUCACAUUGCUAUUAUAGAUUUUUCGCUUGUUGAUGGGUGUGCGGCUGAUUAGAUAGUUGGCGGGGUAACGGCCCACCAAGCCUACGAUCAGUAGCGGAUGUGAGGGCAUGAUCAGCCACACGGUGACUGAGACACGGGCCCGACUCCUACGGGAGGCAGCAGUAAGGAAUAUUGGACAAUGGACGCAAGUCUGAUCCAGCCAUGCCGCGUGAAGGAUUAAGGUCCUCUGGAUUGUAAACUUCUUUUAUAAGGGACGAAAAAAGGCUUUUCUAAGUCGUCUGACGGUACCUUAUGAAUAAGCACCGGCUAACUCCGUGCCAGCAGCCGCGGUAAAAC
rnacentral:rRNA from 1 species